rnacentral:lncRNA from 1 species
ACAAGGUGUAUGCGAGCUUUUAGCGAGCUACUACACCUGUUUCGAGCCGAGUACAAAUACAGCUUAUAUUUAAAGACACUAAACAGUUAUUGUCUUUAUCCUGCAAUUAAUUCUGUAUAUUGUUUGUGUUUUGAAAGACACAAAAACUAACAUAUUUAGCAUUUAUUUUCGAUUUGUAAUCCCUUGAGGCCCGCAUAGUAAUAUCAAAAUCCCACAUUACGCUGAAUACGGAUUCGCAAAAAAAGAAUCUAGAAUGGUCAACAAUAAUACAUCGCUCAAGGUGAAUAAUUAUCUACAAAUGUAUUUUAACAUAACAACUAAUUUCAACAGUAAAAACAAAUAACAAAACAUUGUCAAAUUUGAAACAGAAGUGUACGAGUUGUCCUACGCUUCAGACUUGACAUUCACUAAACAUGCAUGCUGAAAUUGACAUGGUUGAUUUUGUAACACAAUCAUACACAUUCAAGUUUUGAAAUCGACAAUUG